CGGCCCUGAGGGGGGGCGAACGGGGCGGCCGCCCCGGGCCCCCAGGUGCCAAGGGGCCCCCAAUUCUUCUCUGAUUUCCUGCCCAGAACGCCGAGGUGCACCUGCAACCUUUUCCUUGAUUUCCUGCCUUCCUUUCUUCGUGCUUCUAGUAUACGAUUGAUGGUCCUUCCAAUUAAUUAAUAGAGCAGUUAUUGGAUGCGGUUAAUUAGGCACGGUUAUGGAAACAAUCCGCUCUUAGUUUCCUUACUUAAUCUUUCCGUGAAAAACACCUUCCUUAAUUCAGAAGCCGAAAGUUGUGCGCCCAAUUUUUUGUGAGAAAAACAGGACUGGUGGGAAGCGACAAUGAUACGGACGGCGAGAAUAGAUCAAGAUCGCGAAGCUUGAUAUCCAUCUACUACUAUGCAUGCAUGGUGCCGCCUCGGCUCGGAGCAGUUAAGUUUCAUCCGUAACUUGUCCAUAAGUGUAGCAUUUUUGCAGUCGCUGCCUCGGACGAGACCACACUGACUCGGUGGGAGGCUAGAUCAAUACUGUUAGGAUACGAUGACAGUUACAGAAAAGAAGGUAUGUCUCUAAUCUCUAUUUUUAUAGGUAGUCUGUAUGUAUGGCCUAGGAAAUUUUAUCAUGAUAGUUGAUUAGAAGUAUGAAUGAUCAUCGACAUGCCCUCUGCGUUGUUGCAAUUGGAAACUAACAAUUGAUUUAUCAGUAUUGUUAACGGAUAGAUAUCAUUCGGGUUAUUAUUUUUUUAUAUGGAGGAUUAAACUAAUCCAUAUAGGGGCUAUACAUAAUACAAUCUGACAUCUAAAUGGAUGAUAACGUGAGUGAUCAUUGGCAUUUAAAUUAUUCAUUAUUCUAGACGAGGUGCCAGUUUUUUCUACAGCUGAUUAGGAUGAAAGAAAUUAUAGGAUAAACAUAACAAUAAAGCUACCAGAUAUAUUGCUAACGAAGAGACUUAAACAGGAACAUAUUGUAUAAAUAGUAAAAAAGAAAAAGAAACAUACUGUAUUUUCUUUGACUAGCGAUUUAAAAUAUUUUUGGAAAUACAUACUUUUGUUUAUACUAAGGGCCCCUAGGAUUUAGUUUUGCCCCGGGCCCCCAAAAUGUCAGGACCGGCCCUGUGUGCAUGCUAGCUAGGUAGUUAGUGGGUCAAAGUAGUGGCGUGAGUUUAGGUGACACUGGUGCUGGCCCUGUGUAUAUAUAGUUUGCAUUGCGUAAUAGAAUAAGCAGGCCGGGAGGGCUGUGGAAAAAUGUAGUGUUUGUGUCACCAAGGAAGAGAGCUGUCGGCAAAGCCGGUGCUGGUUUCUUCCUUGGGCGUGUGUGUACGUGUGUGUUCAUGAGAGUGUUCUUGUGUUCUUGUGAGAAACCAUAUACGAGAGAAGAGAGAGUUGAGAGGAGGAAGAAGAGCGGCGCUGCGAGGAUGAGGCGGUGCCAACAGGUCGGGGGCCGCCGGUCGAGGCGGAGGGGAGGAACACCUCCCUCCCUGUCGCCCUCCUCGCCAUCUGUGUCUCAGGGGCGCCAUAGCUAAAAUUUGACGUGAGAAGUGCAGCCACAACAAUGGGCAGCCAAAUAAAAAAUAUAGGGAGACAUAAGGAGAAUAUAACUGGUCAUACUUCAACAAUGGCCACACUACUUAUGAUGGUUCAAGAGAAGAUAUCCGUGAUACUGAGCCUGGUGAUGAGGGCAUCAAGACAAAGAGAUUAAUUCACAACUCUGUUGUUGAUAGGUUGUACAAAUUUACAAGGCACCAUGAUAUGUAACUUAUGUUUGUUGCUUCGGAGAGUACUGCCAUGCUGCCAUGGUCUUCAAAAUGUGGAAGGUGACUUUUGCUUGAUCUAGAGUGGACGUUGAGCCUUGCCUUGUGGUGGCAGUAGACAAGGAAGUCGCCCAUUGAUUGAUCUUGAGAUGGCCAUGUCCCUGCAUUGCGGACGCUGAAGACAGUGUGUGUGAAUUUUUAGAGUACAUGCUUGGCACUACAUCUACUACUCCAAGAUUAUGUGGUGUUGCCUUGCUGACCCAAAUGUCCGGGGUCUCUUUAAGGAGAAGCCAGAUGGAACAAAGCAUGAUAACGGUCAUUUGCCUUUCUCUGGGUAAUACCGAAGUGACUGCUCGGCUACCAACCAACGUCUCACCUUUUGUUUCAUUGUGUAUGCUGUCAACUGGCACUGAAGAAAAUAGUGAUUUGCUGCUGACUGACAUAGUGAAAAAAGAGAGGUACAAUUGAAUCAAUAGUACUUUUCCAUAAGUGUGUCUCAUGUAGCUAAACAUUUGCAUCUUUUUUCUCAUCAUGUAAAAAAAUUAGCAACGAGUCGUUCUUGCCUGCACACUCCCACAGUUGACAUGCAAGAAGGGCAGGAAUUAAAUCAGUAACCUCAUGUACAUAGAUUCCAUCUUCUACUCGCCUUUCUAAGAAAUUCUUUUGCGUUUGUUUUUCAGCAUGUGGUUUGUUGGAUCUGACCAGAACUGGUUACCAUUGUUAUAGUUCAGCCAAACAAUAGAAAUAGGCAACAUCAUGUUAGUUAAAUGCAACCGUUAUGGUUCUAUGAUAUUAUGCUAUUGGUACGGCUUGGUCCAUCAAACAUCACUUGUUGUCUACUUAUUCUUUGCUGACUUCCUUUUUUAUAUCUCUUAUGAAGAAAGGUUGUUACUCACUUUAUUUAUGAUGUCCUGUUUCUUGUCUCACGUUGCAUCAUUUCAACAGAUGUGAGUCUUUUAGUGGUGCCUUUUGGAGAUAAUAGUUAUGUAACAGAGAUAAUAGACAAAAAACAAAGAAGUAUUAUUGGGUACUCAACUAUGAUAUGGAAGGCAUUUCUGAUUUUGUCAAUGACAACCCACCAAACACACCCAUCAGGAAGAGUUGCUUAGAUGUCGAGGUCAUUUUUCAUACCAAUGGCACAUGUAGCAUGACUACCUGAUGUAAAUGACUGCAUAACUUAGUUAACAUAAGCUGAAUGACCAGAGCUAUCUAUAUGAUGCAUUUCUGCCUAUGUAGCUUUGCUUAUCAUGAACUGAUCUCGUGCCUUUCUUUUGGCCUAUAAACCGACCAUGCAUUGUAAUAUAU